rnacentral:rRNA from 1 species
CCUACGGGAGGCAGCAGUAGGGAAUCUUCCACAAUGGGCGAAAGCCUGAUGGAGCAACGCCGCGUGAGUGAAGAAGUAUUUCGGUACGUAAAGCUCUAUCAGCAGGAAAGAAAAUGACGGUGCCUGACUACGAAACCCCGGCUAACUACGUGCCAGCAGCCGCGGUAAUACGUAGGGGGCAAGCGUUAUCCGGAUUUACUGGGUGUAAAGGGAGCGUAGACGGCAGCGCAAGUCUGGAGUGAAAUGCCGGGGCCCAACCCCGGAACUGCUCUGGAAACUGUGAAGCUGGAGUGCAGGAGAGGGAAGCGGAAUUCCUGGUGUAGCGGUGAAAUGCGUAGAUAUCAGGAGGAACACCGGCGGCGAAGGCGGCUUACUGGACUGUAACUGACGUUGAGGCUCGAAGGCGUGGGGAGCAAACAGGAUUAGAUACCCUGGUAGUC